rnacentral:rRNA from 1 species
CCACGUUCGGAUUGCAGCCUGCAACUCGGCUGCAUGAAGCUGGAAUCGCUAGUAAUCGCGGAUCAGAACGCCGCGGUGAAUACGUUCCCGGGUCUUGUACACACCGCCUGUCACACCAUGGGAGCCGGAAACGCCCGAAGCCAGCGGCCCAACCGCAAGGGGGGAGCUGUCGAAGGCGGGGCCGGUGACCGGGGUGAAGUCGUAACAAGGUAGC